UAAAAUCUGUGGAUAAAAUCAGCUUCAAAUUUAAGUAUCAGCCGAUCAAAAUCUCCCAAUAUUCUGAAAAUCAUGGCCAAAUUAUUGGUACACUUCUAGUAUGAAGUGAAAAUAAUCACUAACUUUGGAAACAAUUUGGAUAGCAUUCGUUGCUCAUAACCAGUCCUGCCUGUAUAUUGGUAUGGUCAAAGAAUAUCCACCAUCUUGUUUUACCGGUAAUGACUUUAACCAUAUCAUUUAUGUGCAGUAGCUUGGUCUCACACAGGUGUUGCAUUAUUACCUUUCAAGAUUGAUGAGAGUUGCAUCAAACAACUUAUAACAAAUAUUAUGGUUUGUGAUAAGAUCAUCUGCUCACCUCACCCUCAAAGAUG